rnacentral:rRNA from 1 species
UAGUCAUAUGCUUGUCUCAAAGAUUAAGCCAUGCAUGUCUAAGUACAUACUGUUUAUAAAGUGAAACCGCGAAUGGCUCAUUAAAUCAGUUACGGUUCCUCGGAUAUUCUUUUUUACAUGGAUAACUGUGGUAAUUCUAGAGCUAAUACAUGAACAAGUGUUCCAACCUCAGCUUGCUGACGGAAGGAUCGCAUUUAUUAGUACAAGACCAAUGAUUCUUAUUCACCUAGAACCCUGUUCAGUGAUUUCGGUCGCUGUCUAAGGACUAGCAGUGGGGAUCUUAGCAACUUCGGUUGCAUUUCUUGUGAUGACUCUGAAUAACUGAGCAAAUCGUAUGGCCUCUGAGCCGACGAUGUAUCCCUCAAGCAACUGCCUUAUCAACUGUCGAUGGUAGGUUAUGCGCCUACCAUGGUUGUAACGGGUAACGGGGAAUUAGGGUUCGAUUCCGGAGAGGGAGCCUGAGAAACGGCUACCACAUCUAAGGAAGGCAGCAGGCGCGCAAAUUACACAAUCCCAGUACGGGGAUGUAGUGACGAAAAUAACAAUACGGGACUCUAUUGAGGCCCCGUAAUUGGAAUGAGUACAAUUUAAAUCCUUUAACGAGGAUCUAUUGGAGGGCAAGUCUGGUGCCAGCAGCCGCGGUAAUUCCAGCUCCAAUAGCGUAUAUUA